rnacentral:ncRNA from 1 species
AGGUGCCGCGGGUCAGCGGCUGACGCCAGCCACCUUCCCGACCCGUCUUGAAACACGGACCAAGGAGUCUAACAUGUGCGCGAGCCGCGGGGCAGUACGAAACCCGUAAGGCGAAAUGAAGGUGAACGCCGGCGCGGUCCGGCGGAGGUUGGAUCCCGUCCCGUCGGGGCGGGCGCACUACCGGCCGAUCUUCUCCGCCCUGUCGGCGAGGUCGAGCGAGAGCGUGCAAGUCGGGACCCGAAAGAUGGUGAACUAUGCCUGAGGAGGUUGAAGCCAGAGGAAACUCUGGUGGAGGACCGUAGCGAUUCUGACGUGCAAAUCGAUCGUCAAAUUUGGGUAUAGGGGCGAAAGACUAAUCGAACCGUCUAGUAGCUGGUUCCCUUCGAAGUUUCCCUCAGGAUAGCUGGCGCUCUGUCGCAGUUUUAUCUGGUAAAGCGAAUGAUUAGAGGUCUUGGGGGCGAAACGCCCUCAACCUAUUCUCAAACUUUAAAUUGGUAAGAAGCCCGACUCGCUCGUUUGGAGCCGGGCAUGGAAUGCGAGUGCCAAGUGGGCCACUCUUGGUAAGCAGGACUGGCGAUGCGGGAUGAACCGAACGCCGGGUUAAGGCGCCCGACGCGACGCUCAUCAGAGCCCACAAAAGGUGUUGGUUGAUAUAGAAUCUACAUAUAGAUGGCGCUGUUAUCAUCAGCGCUUCAACCAAACUUACCAAGCAAUUGGGUAGGAAGACUGAUAGAUCAGCAUGGGUAUAAUAAAAAAAAUUAAUAUUUUUAAAGAAGAUAAUAUGCUGCUUAUAUAUAUAUAUAUAUAUUGGUCUUUUAAAGUGUGGCUGAAGGUUUGAUUAUUUCACCGUGGCUUAAAAUACAAUAAAAUGUUUGUUUGAUCAUACAUUGUUAAGUUCGACUGAUUAGUCUCUUGGUUUAGUGCGUCGCCUUUUAGCCGAAGGGUUGCAGAUA